rnacentral:rRNA from 1 species
UGGUUCCUACGGGGCGCAGCAGUGGGGAAUAUUGCACAAUGGGGGAAACCCUGAUGCAGCAACGCCGCAUGAGUGAAGAAGUAUUCCGAUAUGUAAAGCUCUAUCAGCAGGGAAGAAGAUGACGGUACCUGAUUAAGAAGCCCCGGCUAACUACGUGCCAGCAGCCGCGGUAAUACGUAGGGGGCAAGCGUUAUCCGGAUUUACUGGGUGUCAAGGGAGCGUAGACGGCAUAGCAAGUCUGAAGUGAAAGCCCAAGGCUCAACCAUGGGACUGCUUUGGAAACUGUUAAGCUAGAGUGCUGGAGA